rnacentral:rRNA from 1 species
CACGAGGGUUUCACUGUUUUAAAAAAUCUCCAAUGAAAUUGAGAUUGGGGUGAAGACGCCCCAUCCAAAUUGUAAGACGAGAAGUCCCCAUGGAACUUUACUGGAGGCUUAUAGUACGGAUAUUAAAAUAAAGGCUGAAGGGUCUUUUUUGUUUUUAUAGAAGGGUUCAAGGUAAGAGGGACAGUUUCAUUGGGGCGAUGGCUUUUUAAAAAGUAACAAAAGUGAGCUAGAAAUAUAAGUUUGAUUGUGAGGGAGAGGGCCCGAGCAGACACUCUAGGUGGGCGGAAGUGACCCGUUAUUUUUGAAUGAAAAAGUUAACGAUAAACA